ensembl:lncRNA
CCCUGAAUGAAGUUAGCUGGUUAUGCCUGUUUAAUACUGACUUCUUACAUAGUUCUUGGAGCCUCUGUUAGAGAAGAGAACUGUGUAAAUACACCUGCUCUUCACACAGUGUCAAAGGAAAGUCACUUGAGUUGAGUGGGCAGUUACCAGAGCACUGCUGUUGGAGAUCCUACACCCCAGGGCUUCCAGAUAGCAGGCAGGCAGGAGGGAGGGUCCUGCAGUGUUCAUCCUGAAGAGCCCUAGCUGGUACAGUCUUCCUCUGAGAAGUACUUGGAGAAGUAUUUUCCUAAAUCACUGAAGAUUCUCUUCGGAUUAUCUGCUGGGAGUGAGCGAGACUAAGACCAAUGAAAGGAAAUUAAAAAGUGGCAGAUUCUAUGACCACAAACCUACCAAUGAGGAGUGAAUGUCCUGGGAAGUGGAGUUAUCUAUCGCUCAUAUAUCUAAGCAUGAAGAAGGAAGAUACGGUGCUACUGGCUGGCUGGAUCCUUUCUGAGCUGUACUAAGCAGUGAGAUCCAUAAUCUUUGAGCUUUCCAAAGGAUGUCCCAGUUGGUAAACUGAGACUUCUUAACUUUCUACUGCUGGGGUUGUGAUUCUACCCAGUUGGGGCUAUCUUGUGAAGGAGAUCUCACCAACUCAUUGGGCUAAAACCUAACACUUCAGCGUUUUCAGAACUUUACACCUAUUAGAUUAUUUAAUCCAGACAAGUCUUUAUAAUCCCACAUCAUAGGAUAAAAACCUGAGACUGGUUAACAGACUUGGUUCAAUUGACAGUGCUGAUGAGUACCAGAACUGGAAUUUGACCCCAUGCCAUCUCUCCCCCAGGUUUUUAACCACAUUAUAGCCCUACCUCUUUUUUUUUUUUUUUUGGUACUGGGGAUCAAACUCGGGACCUUGAAUAUCCCUACCUCUUAAACCACCUUUGCUCAGUUAGCUAAGAGUCAAGAAAAUCUCCCAGCAUUUAAAGUAUCUAUGAGGGUGCUUGCAUUCUUUGGUUGAUGCUGUGAAUAAUGUCAACUCUUGUGUUUCCAUCUCUAACAUUCUACUUUUUCCUUGUUCAAUACCCCAAUCAAAUGAAUACCAAUCUCCUUGGUGCUUGUACAGCAGGCUAAUGGCAGGUAGAACCACAUGAAAUUAUUACAUUUGGCCAUUUCAUCUGGUUCAAUCUAAUAUUUGUUGAGCCCAUACUUACUUAGAUACAAGAUUUGUCCUGAGAUUUUUCUCAUCUUAAUUUCAUUGAAUUUUCACACCAAUACUUCAAAAUAUUUUUAUUUCCAUUUUCUCAUCAGGAAACAGGCUCCAAUUAGAUGGAGAUCAGGUAGCAAUUGUAGUGGUAGAGACAGGGAUCCUCUUACAGAGGGUUUCCUUCUCACUGCACAACUCUGGCAGCUGAGUCCAGGAACUGAGUAGAGCUGGAGGUCCAGGAGGAAAGAAGGUGGGGUCACAUUCAAGCAGCAGACUCAUGUGAGUUUUGAAGUGAAACAUGAGACAAAAGGGGAAGUACUCUGACCUCUGGAAAACAUUCAAGUAUGACUCAGUGAGCAGCAAUAGUCAGUUUUGGAAAACUGAGUCAGAUCCUUUUAAUUUCAUUCAAUCUUGUCACAACAAUCAGGGUCAGCAAGUAUGUGAACAUGCUCUCUGCAGCUUUAAAGAGAAUUGAAGAGUGAUUUGCCCAACUGGAGGAUGCUGUUGUGGGAAGCACAUCUGGCAGAAUCCAGAUGGAGGAUAUCUGGAACAGUGGGGACAACUGGAAUUCAAGGUUGAGAGAAACACAUCUAGGGGAUUUAGAGGUGCUUUGGGGAAGAGGGAGAAUGGGAAAGUCCUUGGUGUUACAAGCAGAAAAGAGUGAUGAUGUGGUGCUCUCCCAAUUCUCUAGUGUUCACUGAGCUGCUUGGGGUAGAGAAGAACACAGUUGAGUCACCUGGAAGCAGUUUGGAAUGACUGUGCUAUAAAUGAGAAAACAGCCUGAGACCAAGAAUGAAGAAAGCAGCUACUUGUCCAUCUUGUAGCAGAUGUUUGACCAGAUGGCCACUGCAUGGCCUUUGUUGAGAAGAAACCACCUGGCUUUUAAGGAUUCUACAGAAAUCAAGCAAUGGAUCAACAAGUGGAGAAAAGCACCUGUUAGAGAUGAGGAUCCACACUAGCUGCUUUGAGCUUGAAGAUGCAUGGCACAGUUGCUGUCUUCAACCAACCACUGAUUUAAAUGAAAGAUAAGAUGUAACAGUGGACGUUUUUCCUUGCUUCCCUAAUGUCUCUUGGGAAACCACGUUUCAGCAAUUCCUAAGUCAUAUGUAUGUGGCAGCACUAUCUCCAGAUCGAGGCCAUAAUUCCCAGGCCAAAAGCCAAGGACAAAGGGAUGGGUCAGUAGUACAAGUUGAGCCCAAAUAAAUAGCCCUACAUCUUCCCAGAGCUGUGACGAAGAGGCUCCAGUCUGUAGAAUGAGUCUCCAGCACCAAGAGUAUAGGGAGGAAAGGAAAGAGAGAAAGGAACAUUGGUUAGAUUGUGUUGUUGGAGCAUUGAUACAGCCUUGCCUGAAGUUCCCUGGAUUUCCCUGAAGACCUUGGGCUUUCCAGGUACAUGAUACAUAAUCUUCAUCCCCUUUUUUUCCUUGAGCCAGUGUAAGCUGGGUUUCUCUCCUUGUCAGCUGAAGAGCCCUAAGAAUUGGUACUUUACUUUAGUCAACUGGAAUGGCUUCUUAGACAGUCUGCUACCAUUCAUCUUCCGGACAUCAAGCCCAGCUGAGGGUUUUGGCAAACAAGCCCAGCAUGAGUGUUGAUAAAUUUGCUGUAACUGCCAGACUUUUCUGCUGGCUAUUUUAAGGUUGAUGUGUUUUCAGAAGCUAGGAGAGAAACUGCUAGGACACUUAUUUGGUGACAUGUAGAUUAAUCUGAUCUUCACUAGCAAUGCCCUCAUUUGAUCACAAUAACCAUUCCUAAUAAGACAUCCCUCUGUCCUAUAAAAUCAGUUUUCUACCUGUGUGAAUGCGAUCCAGAGGCAAUAUUUGAGGCAGCAUUUGAUUCUUUGGCUCUUAGUAUAAAUAUGGGAUGUAACUGAAUAUGUGACUUAUAACUUCAGUUACCUUUUCCAUUCAUAAUUCUGUGUUAGAAACUGAUCUAUAAUCUCAGAUGAGUCACAGCUGGGAUUACUAAAAGAGAAAAUUCAGCCCAGGCUUAGGGUAACAGAAAAGACAAGAGAUAUUUUUGAAAUAUAUUUGAUAUUUCCAGGACCCUCACCUUCACCCAAGAUACCAACAUCCAAUGUUGCUCAGGAAUCUUACAUAUAAUGGCAUAGUAUUUGUGUAUAACCUACAUACAUCUUCCUGUAUAGUUUAACCAUCUCUAAAUUGCUUACAAUAUAUAAUCAAUAUAAAAUCCACAAAAUAGCUAUUAUGCUAUAUUGCCUAGGGAAUAGUGACAAGGAAACAUAGUUACUAGAGAAACAUAAAAAUAUUUUCAAUCCAUGGUUGGUUGAAUCCACAGAUACAGAAAACAUGGUUAUGGAGGGCUGACUAUAUUCAUUUUGUAAGUUAGAAUUGUAUUGAUGUUCAAUUAUAUAUUAGUCGGGAGUGAGAAAUAUACCAUAAUUUAGCCUCUGAAUAUUUUAAUCUAUUUCUAAAUGCCAAGCAAAGAAAUAAAAACUAAAAAAGAAACAGAAGAAAAAUGUAUACUACUGUGAGAAAUGUGGUCUAAAUAAAGAACAAGGAAAGACUAUACACUCUUUAAUCAUAGGAAUAUAAAAUCCUUCUUAUAAGAGAAUGUUCCAGAAGUGUGCUAAAGGUUUGUAUUAUUUUAUACAGAAAGAGGAGUCUUAAUUUUUUUUUGUAAACAGUUUGAGAUUUCAGAGUUGACUCCCUAAUUUAUUUAAAACAAGAAUUGCUUCAUGAAUUAGCCUCAAGCACUCCUCAGGAAGUUAUUUAUGUGGUACUUCACCAUGGCUGCAGGUUUAUAUCAAGCCACAACUGUAUAAACAAAGACUAUUAACCUACCGGCUGGAUUUAGCAGACACUUUAGUGUAUUUAAAUCUGCUGACAUUUCAAAUGACUAUGUCUCCAGAUUCUUCACAGAUCAACCACAGCAGUGACAAGACUAUUUCUGAGUAGCUCUAAGCCAAACAAUGUGUGUGUUCUAAACAAUGACCACUAAAAAAAUGAGGGCUGGUAUUCUGCUUUUACUCAAACUUAUGCUAAGUAUUUUCAGUGGGGCUGGAAGAGUAUCAGGGUGGCUCAAAAAUGAGGAAGGCUUCAGAUGGUCUUGAAGGUAAUGAUGUAACUCUUGCAUUUUUCCACAUAUAGCACAUAAUUAUUAGUAGUAAAUAAUUUAUUGGUCAACUGGGAGAUAAUUGUUUUUCCUCUUCUGUUUUCUUUCUUUGGUAAGAUUUUAGAUGAGUGGUAUUGUUUGGGACUGUCCUCCCUUCUCAUUGUUUCAGAGUGGAUCUCAGGAAGUGUCACUGAGGAGUGGGGACAUUUAGACAGGAGGAAAAAGAGCCAGUGAGAGGGGAUUUCCACCCAAAUGGGCAUCUGGGGCUUGGUCCUACCUGGAACCUUCGAGUAGCCUACAUGUCAGGACUUUGCCGGGAAGGAGCUAGGAAAUGGGGUAUUUACCCACAAAUUCCUUUUGUUGGUGCAGGAGUGUGCCUGGGCUUUGCAUUCUGGAGGAAAUCCCAGAGUGAGAAGGAGAAAAGGUUGGUGCUUUAAAUCUGAAGCUGUCAGCUGGCAAGGAAAGUGUCUAUGAUCCUUCCAAUGACUAGCUCAGAGGAAAUACCAAUGGUGCAUCAACAGGCUUGGAUGCGCUAGCCAUUUUUACAUAAAAAAAUGUUUAGGUUUGUCAUGAGAAAUUAUUUUUAUUUUCUCCAGCAGAAAGAGGAUCUUUUUGACUAUUUGCUUAAAAAAAGACUUCAGUGGAAUGAUUUGAGACAGGUUUUCCAGUUGUACGCUGCAACAACAUUAACAUGACAAAUGAACACAGAAGCCAAGUUAAAUUAUCAGAGUACUGCUGGGAAGCGAAAUAUUAUAAAGCCUUUAAACAUCAUCCUUUUGGAAUUUUUAAUAACUUGAAAAGAUGUUAAGUGAAAUGCUAACAUUAAGUGAAAAAAACAGGUUAUAGAACUGUACAAUUUCAGUUAUAUGAGAAAAAUAUUUAUGUAAGAAAAAGAAAGACUAGAAAAAAUAUGCCAACAGUUUUGUGAUUGGUUUCUUUCUCUGGGUGAUGACAUAAUGAAUAACUUUAUGACUUUCUAUGUUUUUCUUCAUUUCCCAAGUGUUCUACAAUGAACAAUUUGUACUAUAUUUUAAGAAGUAGAUGCAUGUUUUGGUUUGCUCUGUGCAAUCAGAUUAUAUGGGGAGUUUGCAAGAUAGACAAGUGGGCGCCCCAUAUGUACAUGUCAUGGCAGAGCAGCUUCUCUAUAAACAAUCAGAUAUUCUUGAGCUUGAUGAUCUGAACAUGAAGACAGCUGGAUUACUCAGUUCUAUUUUUGCUGCCAGCUCCCCAGGGCAACCUGGUAAUCUGUGGGUGCUCAUUUCAAGAUUAGGUACUGAGCUGCUUCAUUGUAAAAGACCUCAAGGGCAGUGCACAGUACAGUAUCUGCCAGCAAGACUCUGGUCAGGGCUACAGGAGGCGGUGGCUGCCUGGGUGGGUCAGAGGAGACCACCGGGGAGGCAGGACUUUUGUUCUUUUGGGGUCAAGAUGACGAACACAUCCUGGUUCACAGUUACAUCAGUUUAUUGUCCUCAGUUAACAGCCACUACAUCUAGUGGUAGCCAUAGGACAGAACAUUCUCAGUCCCAUCUGAGAAUAAGCAGCACUAAGAGAAGUAAAGGAAUAAAAUCAGAUAAUCCUUAAUGAGACAAUAUUCCAGAGGGACGGUCCAUUGGAAAAGACUGACCAUAUGAUGAAGAUAUGAUUAAAGACCAUCAUCACACUCAGGUAAAUGUGUACUAUGAGUUCAGGGGAGGCCAAGGAAGGAAAUUCAGAAAAAAAGUUAACAUAGACUAGAGUGGUUGAAAAAAGUUUUCUAGAGAAGGCAAUGCUUUGAAUAAUGGUUUUAUUGUAAAAUGAUUUGAAAGUCCACCUAAUUCAGGAGUGUUUAGUGUUUUGAGUGAUGAACAGCCUGAGUAUCUAGAAUUUUGAUCCUGUUCUGCCCCAGAUUCUCUGUAUGUCAUCACUGGGAAUAUGUUUCCUGGCCUAUAGAAUACCAGUGUCAACAACUACCUGCCCUACAAGUGUGGUAGGAUGAGUCAUGGAUGGUAAACAUACUAGUUGAACUUAGUGGUGCUGUUACCAAAGGCUUAAAAAUGUGAGACAAUUAAAUAUAGACCUAGGCAACAGUGGAUUCUUAAGAUAAAUGAUAAUGAUCAAAAGCUCAAAGUCUGCCUGAAAUGGUGUUCACCUUCCAGUUGAGUCAGGAGGGAUUUCUCUGCUGAGGUAUCCUAGUUACAAGCUGAAUAUAGAGAGGUGGAAUCAGCUGAAAAGUAGUUAUUCUGUUCCUGGAGUGGGCUCACUAAGCUGGGUAGUAUGAGGUGAAUUUAAAACAUCAUUAACAAGAGUGCUGUUUGGACGAGUUUGUAGCGCUCAAACCUGAACUGAAAGCUAUACAUCCUCAGGAGUGCAGGCAAUCAGCUAGAUUCGUAUCAGUUAACACAACCCUCAGGAACAAUGCCAAGAGAGGCUCAUCUAACCAAAAGAUUGGAUUCAUCACUGAACACACCAUGUCUCAGAAUGCAAGACUCCCCAUACAGUCACUUGUUCUGUUAAUGUGAAAUGGAUUCAGUUGAACAGGGAAGCAGCACACCAAAAGCAAGCAAACAGAGCACUGGCCCCGAUUCACACCAAGAACACGUUUUCCUUUAAGAUGGGCUCUCUGAUAGUCUGGCUAGGCCCUGCCUGUGUGCAUCACCAGUUGAAUACCCAUGGUGUCAGCUCUCUUACCCUGUAGGACUGGAGCAGUACUGUGAAAAAAACAGUAAGAAGUCAGUGUUUAUUUGAUCAGUCAUGGACACCAGGAAGGCUGUGUGGCAGUUUUGCAAGCAGAUACUAUUUUUUACGAGGUUAAAAACUACCUGAUAAGAGACCUUAUGGUAAACCUGCAAUAGAAAAACAAUAAGCAAACAAUAAAACCAAGACCACAGGAACACAGUAAUAACAUUUUGAUUGAGGUGAUAUUUGCAGCACUUUUACAAAUAUUGACUCACCAAAGAUGAGGCCGAAAAAUAAACCUGGUUUAUAUUUGAGCCAACCACACAAAGCAUUUGGAGUACUCCCUUAGCGAGCUUCUCACUGGCCCUGGAAUCAACCCUAGAAACAAGCACUCCUUCAUAUUCAACCUCCAUCUGCCACUGCAGAAUCUCCCACACCCUGUCUAAAUUCAUCACAGUCCUUCUCUGGUGGCUCACAGCAGCCUUGUCUCCAGUGGCUGGAGAAAUGAUGAAUAAAGAUCAGUUACAAGUGAUGACAUAUGCCCUUAUAAAAACAGUAAUUCCAUUUUAAUAUGUUUGCUUCUCCUCUCCCCUUUCUGUUUGCACUAAAAGAACCUGAUGUAAAGUCCUCUCUUUUCUUGGAAAACUUUGCUUAUCAGGGCCUUCUGCUACAUGGAAAGACAAAUUAACAUUGCUUUGUUAAACAUCAUACUAUGGGAAUGGUAAACCAAAAAACAAAUUGCACAAGAACAAGAAAGAGGACAAAAUUGAAAAAGAAGGUGUUUUGGAGGAAGUGAUUUAUUGUUGUUUUUUUUUUUUUUUUGGAACUGGGGAUAGAACUUGGGUCCUUGUACUUGUGGAGCAGGCAGUGAAACCACUGAGCUAAAUCCCUGGCCCCUUGGAGGAAGUGAUUUAGUAAAGAGGAGGUUCUCAUGUAGCAAAGGAGGCCUGGGGGUGUUUGGAGAAAGAAAUGUGCUCCUCACUCAAUUCAGGGACCCAUGGAAGCUCCAGUCCUUAGAGGACAGGGUUGCAUGAUGUGCCUGAGCACAUGGUGACACACUCUCCAGUUCCCACACCCUGCAGCAAUUGUCUGUCAGGCAUCUAUCCUCUGGGAUGUGUGUGUGUGUGUGUGUCUCCAUAGGGGCUUCAAAAUAGAAAUCAGCCUUGUCUACAGAAAAUAGGGAGAGGUGGGCUGUCCAAAAAGAGCAGCUGCUCUAAGCAUUUUCAUCCCUGACCCACACCUGAGUGGUCCAUCAAUGAAACUGUUAUAGAAUCUUUGCCUGGCACACUCAGGGGCAGGUUCACAUUCUGCUGGCUGAAAUUUAUUUAAUCUGGGGGACCUUCUUCGAAAAAAAUUAUAAAUAUAAAAUUAACUAGAGAGUCUUGGAAAGAACCAGUGCAACUGAAGAAAGUUGAAAUUUAAGUGUCAUUAGUUACAUGAUGAAUCUUUCUUUGCUGGCUGUGCUACAGUGUGUUCUGGGUAAGCUGGGAAAAUGGCUCUUUCCACACAUCCGGUCACAUCUUUCUUCUGAGAGUGUUUCACCUGCCCAUCUUGUCCAUCUUUCCACACUAUCCUAGCCAAGGGAAGCUCUGAAAGUGGGUCAUUUACACAAAAUCCAUUUGUUUACUUACUCUCUCCCAGAAGUACUUUAACUGGUUACUCAACCAGGUUUUUACCCUUAAUUAAAAAAUCUCUUAUUUCAGCAUGAAAGGUUUCCCAUUUGGUAAUCAUUCUCCCUAUGAAACCUCACACUUCCCCUUCUAUAUGUAACCAUUUGAAAAAGAAAUCUCUGCCAUCAGUAACCAGACCAGAACAUUGGGAGGUAGGAGAGAAGGUGAAACCUCCCAUGAAAUCUCCCUGGAACUGUUCAUCUGGUCUUGGAAGGAGACUGAUUUGCAGUGAGUUUUAUAAGAUCUAUUGACUUUGUCACGGGUGGAAGAAGACUCAGGUCCACAUAAGCAGUCAACAUUUUGUGAGUCUCUGCAGUGGAAAGGUGAAGAAGGAUAGUGGCUUUUGCUAGAGCAGAUGCUGAGGGUCCAAUCUCACCUAGAGGGAGGAUCAUUGCACCAAGACACACAAAAGACUGCGCUAUGGAUUCUCAAGAAAAUUCCAAAGGAAGACUUCCAAACCUUCUGCAUAUGGCAUUUCUUCUGCUCUUUCAGACAUUUGGUCUUGUUUGAGAAAGGAAAUCUCAAUUGUUUUGGCAUCAGGCCUUACCUAUGUUUCAAGAAAGAUGUCACAGUAUAUUCAAAGGAAUAAUUCUUUAUGUAUAAAAUAUUUUCUUCCGUGUUGACAUUUCCUAAUCUUUGCAUUGAGCAUAAUGGAAAAGAAAUAUAGGAUCUAGCAACAGAGAAAGAGGAGCCACAUUUGUUUUCCACAUUUGGGUGUACACAUCCUUGCUUUUUUGUUUUUCCCUUCUUAAAAAAAACAGCUGAAAAUCCUAGAUCUUUAAAGAGGAUUAGAAAUCCAAGAGGCAGGCUUGGCCUAAGGUGAAAGAGCUUUAGACAAGGAGCCAGGCAACUUGGGGUUUGGACCCCCUUUGGCUACUAACCAACAGGUCUUGGGACCUCAUCUAUGUACCUUAUUCACUAGGCCUCACUUUGCUCAUUAAUGCAAUUAGAAGCUGCACUGGGUCAUUCCUUACUCCUUCCCAGUUCUACUGCUUGUUUAUUGGUCUUCCUCUGAGAAUUCCAGAAACCUUUAUAUAACUUCACUGG